rnacentral:tRNA from 1 species
GCCGAAGUAGCUCAGCUGGCCAGAGCGUUUGAUUCGUAAUCAGAAGGUCGGGGGUUCGACUCCCCCCUUCGGCU